UAGCAUAUCAAUAAGCGGAGGAAAAGAAACCAACAGGGAUUGCCUCAGUAACGGCGAGUGAAGCGGCAACAGCUCAAAUUUGAAAUCUGGCGCAAGCCCGAGUUGUAAUUUGCAGAGGAUGUUUCGGGUGAAGCCACGGUCCAAGUCCCUUGGAACAGGACGUCAUAGAGGGUGAGAACCCCGUACCUGGCCGUCGGUGCCCCCCGCUGUGAAACUCCUUCGACGAGUCGAGUUGUUUGGGAAUGCAGCUCUAAAUUGGUGGUAAAUUCCAUCUAAAGCUAAAUACCGGCCAGAGACCGAUAGCGCACAAGUAGAGUGAUCGAAAGAUGAAAAGCACUUUGAAAAGAGAGUUAAAAAGUACGUGAAAUUGUUGAAAGGGAAGCGCUUGCGGCCAGACUUGCCCGCGGUUGCUCAGCCCGCCUUUUGGCGGGUGCACUCUUCCGCGGUCAGGCCAGCAUCGGUUUGGGCGGCCGGAUAAAGGCGCCGGGAACGUGGCCUCCCCUCGGGGAGGUGUUAUAGCCCGGCGUGCAAUGCGGCCAGCCCGGACCGAGGUUCGCGCUCUGCUAGGAUGCUGGCGUAAUGGCCGUAAGCGGCCCGUCUUGAAACACGGACCAAGGAGUCUAACAUCUAUGCGAGUGUUUGGGUGUCAAACCCGUGCGCGUAAUGAAAGUGAACGGAGGUGGGAACCGCAAGGUGCACCAUCGACCGAUCCUGAUGUCUUCGGAAGGAUUUGAGUAAGAGCAUAGCUGUUGGGACCCGAAAGAUGGUGAACUAUGCGUGAAUAGGGUGAAGCCAGAGGAAACUCUGGUGGAGGCUCGCAGCGGUUCUGACGUGCAAAUCGAUCGUCAAAUUUGCGUAUAGGGGCGAAAGACUAAUCGAA
rnacentral:rRNA from 1 species